rnacentral:siRNA from 1 species
GACAAGAUUUUGGUGGGAUGACUC